UCUCGGGCGGCGGGGUUCCGCCUACUCCCCCUUCGGGGGGGGGAGAUCCCGGAGGCCGAGCGCGCGGCGGCGCUCCGCCAGGCCC
rnacentral:tRNA from 1 species